UUCCAAACCAACAAGUCGGCAACAAGUCACAUCGUGUCGAACCAUCACCAGUGUAUGAACUAAAAUUGCUGCGCAUAAAUUUUUAGUUUGCAUUAAAAGUGAAAUAUUCUAGCGAAUUGGAUUUUUGUCGGUUUUCCAGAAAAAGUGUUCGGAACAACAAAUCGGACACAUCAAAUGUCGAAGAAGAAUAUGGACACAUUUUUAGUUCUUACACUGGGAAUCGUUCACAAGCCGACCACAAACGAUGUCAGAACCUGGAAAAUAUGAAUACAAAGGAUCGUUUCUUAGUUUGCCCCAACUACGAACCGGUCCACAAUCGUAUUAUUUCCGGCAACCAUACAAACACACCAAGCAAUAGACCAACUACCACAAACCGAUGAAUAUGAAUACAAAGGAUCGUUUCUUAGUUUGCCCCAACUACGAACCGGUCCGCUAUCGUGUUCUUUUCGGCAACCAUACAAACACACCGAGCAAUAGACCAAUACCAUAAAUCGGUGAAUAUGAAUACAAAGGAUCGGUAGUGGCCUUGGCCACAAUAAUCAUAUUUGGGUUUUUCAAACAAUAAAAUAGAUGAAACCAACUUAAAGUCUAAAAUAAUUUAUAUUUUCAUUUUUUAUUUAGUUUCGAAAGUCUUUAGACGGGAUUCAAGUUUUUCUUCUUCCUGGUUAACGAAGCAAUUUAAACAUUACCGAAAAAUUAUAAUUUUGAAAUUCAUAAUCCUGAAGAUAAACGAAUUUACUUAUUUCUGUUGCAAUGAAGCUGCAAAUGGAAUGAAGAAAAUAGAGAAAUAAUAAUUCAAUUAGAUUGAUAUGAAAAAAAUUGACUUUAUUCAUAAUCAUCAUGCUAUAUACAAUAAACAAUUUAUACCAAAAGGUAUCUCGUACUUCAACAGGCGAGAAUUUAAUCAAGCCUAGCGAACUAACAAAUAAUUGUUAUAAACUAAUUUCUAAAUUAAGUGUUGUUGUGAGCACGAUAUCAUAUAGUGGUAAGCGAUGAUUGUGCUCCAGCAGCUCCGUCGAUUUCAACGUUAACAGCACUUUUUAGCCAUGAUUUUAAGAAGCGUUGCUUCUUUGACACCAAACGGCCUGCAUUAGUCUGCGAGUGCCUGGACACCGCACAUUUUUCUUGAUCUCAAUCGGCAAAUUAGAUGUAGAAAAUUAACUGUUGGUAUUCGCCAAUAUGAGUGCAUAUUGCUUAUAUGUGUAUAGUUCAAUGACAUUGUUCAUUACUCGUAGCCGAUGUUCAAUGUACGAACGACAUGCAGGUCCUUUUAGCGAUGGCAUUUCACCCAAAGUAACCUUCUCCUCGAAUGUGAACAAUCUUGUGAUUCUUUUGGCUUUUGCAUCUAAACAGCCUCGUUUCGCAUCCCAAUGAUACCGUUUGCUGGACUCGUUCGCAAAUUCACCUUACAAAAUAAGAGCAACAAAAAGGGUAUUUUAUUCACAAUCACGUUUAUUCAUUGUAAAAAAGCAAAACUACCUCUUCUUUGGUAUCCAAAUCUCGCCCGGAUCACAUCCAACAGCAUAUUUUAGUUUUCUGCUUGCGUAAAUUUCCAUGAUUUUGGCAUCACUUCGACCGGUAGCACUUUUAACUUUUUGUACAGUAUCAACACUGAUACACUAACCGAACAAAUUUGGCAAUCGAAAUCCUUCUUGAAAUGUUUAAACCAGUUGUUUAAUUUUAUCCGAAGGAGUUAUCCACCAAACUAGAAAAACAGAAGUGUUAAUUUGGGUACAAAUUGUACGAAAAAAUACUGAGAGAACCAACUUCAGUCCAGUACUUCAAUGGUACAAAAUUUACACUCAGGAUUGGUAAUGCGUUCUUAGGUUGGUUGAAACGUUGUCGAGGUAUUGCUCCCACAAGUACUGGAAUCCGUUGCCGAGUCCACCAUUUGUUGGUCAAUCGAUACUGACGAAAAUCGGAUAGCAUAAACUAGACUUUGUCGAUGUUGGGAUGUUGUCACUAGUACACAGAGAGAAAAAAAUGUGGUAUUUUUAAUUCAAUUUUGGUAGAUUUAAUAUAAAAUCAACCAACAACGAAUUAAAUUUACCAUUUUUGACAUCUCUGAGGCAUAUUUUUCAAAAGAGACUAUUAGUUGAAUAAGUUUUACCAAUUUCUUCAUUACAUUCACCAAAUUCAUGGGCUAGCGUCAUCUGUGGUUUCGAAAAGUUGGUAAAUGUAAUGAAGCAGUUAGUAAAACUUAUUAUAAUAUUUUAUUCAACAAGUAGUCACAUUUGAAAAAUGUGCCUCAGAGAUGUCAAAAAUGGUAAAUUUAAUUCGUUGUUGGUUGAUUUUAUAUUAAACCUACCAAACUUGAAUUAAAAAUACCACAUUUUUUCUUUCUGUAUACGGCCAGAAAACGUUGAAUCAUGCUGGAUCCAUCACUUUUUUUUGCAAAACACAUUAAAAUCACAAGAAAGGAAUCAAUUGUAAACAAAUGCUGUUUGUCAUCGGUUUGACGUGCACAGCAGCCAACUGUCAAAUAUCAUAUUAAUACGUUUCGGAUUCGAAAUUCGAGUUUGCAUUUAUGAAAUCAAAAAAGAAUAAAUGCAAUGGUAAACGCUUAAAAAAAUUCUUCUGCCGAAACUAAAAUCAAAUCACUCAAAUAAUUGUUUAUUACUUUUUUUACGACAAAGGAAUCAUUAGAGUUGAAAUAAAUAAUAAUAAAAACUUGACGAAGUAUUGAGUCAGGUUCACAUUAUGCUGUGGAAAGUGGGAACUAUACAUAUAAUCUACCUUUUAUUUAACACGAAAAUUACCAUCAAAAUGGGUCGAAGCGUUAAAAUAUAGUUACAAAUUUGUUCGCUGGUUAAAUUACGAUUCCAGGAAGGUUUGCAAAUUUUGGAUCUUCCAUUAUGAGUUGAAAUAAAUAAGAAAGAAAUUAAUAAAAAACUAUUUUGCGCGUUGAAAUAAAGGUCAAGAACACACUAUGUGUGCCAUCUGUAUGUCAAUGAUUUCAUUAAUAAAUGAAUUCAAAUCCACCUUUCCAGUGUAAUUAUUUCUCAUAACAUGAAAAGUAUAUGUAUAUAAAUAAUUUUAAUUAAUUUCAAAAAAUCAAAAACUAAGCACAUAAAUUCUUUUGUGUAUUCUUUAAAUUUCUAUUGAUUGAUUAUAGAAAACAUUAAUUAACAUAUUAUAGUAUUAUAACUGGGUAUGUGAGUGUGAUAAGAAUGGAAGAAGGGAAGAAGAAAAAACAUGAUUCGGCGAUAACAUGAAAAUCAAGUUUUAUACCAAUAUACGUUAGUUAUUUUUGUGUUGUGUAUUAAUCGACAUUGGAAAGAUAGUUGAUGUAACACAAACACAUUGAAUUAGCUUGUCAUUCGAGAGAAUUAAUAAUCACUACGGAUUAAUAAGAUUAAGACGUCGUCAAGUCAUUUAAAUCAUUUGGCGAGAAGUACCAGUGAGAGAAAAAAAAUCCUCUGGAUUGUUGUAUGCGUCCCUCCGCUAAAACUUCUACAAAUUGUUUGUCAUCAAUUGUAAAAAGAAUGCACAUUUAUAAAUGUAAUUACGAUCAAUUAUUGUUAAUUUUAAGUGUUAUCAUUACACUGUAUAUUGUGAAGGGACAAAACAUAAAAUCAGACUUUGUUGUACCAACACCCCGUGGUUUCAUUUUAUCUCCUCGCGGUUUCAAAAUAUCGAUUCCAGGUAAAAGUUUGUAUAU